rnacentral:lncRNA from 1 species
UGGGAGGGUAGCAGAGAAGUUUUGGGAAGGUAGCUUUGACGCUAGCUCCGCAAAGCAGGCUGGAUGCUUGUCUGACUCGGACUAGGCGCUGAGACAGCAAAUAAUAGCAGCGUUGGUGGGAAUGCGAGCGGCCGCAGUAACAUCUUCCACCCAGCAAUGGUCGGCGUAGUUCCGCCUAGCGGACAGACGAAAGAUCAAACCAGUCGGUUAUUUGAUCCCUCCAGCCAGGCUCAGCCAAGCAGCCGAGACAAUAGAACAAUGGUCUUAUUCACGUUCAUCAGCAGUUUUCUUUCUCACGAUUAUUUUGAUUUUUGUGUUAUGGAUCAAUAAUAACUCCAGUCACCAGUAAAACGUUUCCAGAAACGUGGUGUACUACCAUAUUAAUGACUUUUCUUGAUGAUUUUUAAUUAUUUAAAAACAUUGUUGACAUUCUGAGCCUUCAGGCUAAACUUGGGGUCGCUGAGAACGAAUCUGCAAUCAGAAUUUCUCUAUCACGAAAAAUAACGAAAAAAACCCAGCUGUUGAUCUUCCGGCAACCGUUAACAGUCAUCCUGCAAUGCGACCUAAACACUUCCAAGCCAGACACCCAUCUCAAAUGACAACAACGCCAAGCUGUGAGAAACCAUCCUGCACUGCGGCGCUAGGUUGAGGGUACCAUAGAAGGGUGGAUGAGAGAGGUAGCUGCUGAGAGGGUAGAAGAAAAGGUUGGAUGUGAGAGGUAGCUGGGAAGGUAGAUUAGGGAAGGUAGCUAGAGAUGGUAGCAUAGAAGGUAGAAGGAGAAAGUAGCUGGGUGGUUGAUGGACAAGGUAGCUGAGAGGGUAGCAGGGAAGGUAGAGAUGGUAGAUUAGAUGGUAGCAUAGUAGGUGGAAGGAGAAAAUAGAAGGGGAAGGUAGCUGAGAGGGUAGAAGGGAAGGUAGAGAUGGUAGAUUAGAUGGUAACAUAGCAGGUGGAAGGAGAAAAUAGAAGGAGAAGGUAGCUGAGAGGGUAGAAGGGAAGGUAGAGAUGGUAGAUUAGAUGGUAGCAUAGAAGGUGGAAGGAGAAAAUAGAAGGAGAAGGUAGCUGCGAGGGUAGCAGGGAAGGUAGCUAGAGAUGGUAGAUUAGAUGGUAGCAUAGAAGGUGGAAGGAGAAAAUAGAAGGAGAAGGUAGCUGAGAGGGUAGCAGGGAAGGUAGCUAGAGAUGGUAGAUUAGAUGGUAACAUAGAAGGUGGAAGGAGAAAAUAGAAGGAGAAGGUAGCUGAGAGGGUAGCAGGGAAGGUAGCUAGAGAUGGUAGAUUAGAUGGUAGCAUAGAAGGUAGAAGGAGAAAAUAGAAGGAGAAGGUAGCUGAGAGGGUAGCAGGGAAGGUAGCUAGAGAUGAUAGAUUAGAUGGUAACAUAGAAGGUGGAAUGAGAAAAUAGCAUAGAAGGUAGGAUGGACAAGGUAGCUGAGAGGGUAGCAGGGAAGGUAGCUAGAGAUGGUAGAUUAGAUGGUAGCAUAGAAGGUAGAAGGAGAAAAUAGAAGGAGAAGGUAGCUGAGAGGGUAGCAGGGAAGGUAGCUAGAGAUGGUAGAUUAGAUGGUAGCAUAGAAGGUAGAAGGAGAAAAUAGAAGGAGAAGGUAGCUGAGAGGGUAGCAGGGAAGGUAGCUAGAGAUGGUAGAUUAGAUGGUAGCAUAGAAGGUGGAAGGAGAAAAUAGAAGGAGAAGGUAGCUGAGAGGGUAGCAGGGAAGGUAGCUAGAGAUGGUAGAUUAGAUGGUAGCAUAGAAGGUAGAAGGAGAAAAUAGAAGGAGAAGGUAGCUGAGAGGGUAGCAGGGAAGGUAGCUAGAGAUGGUAGAUUAGAUGGUAGCAUAGAAGGUGGAAGGAGAAAAUAGAAGGAGAAGGUAGCUGAGAGGGUAGCAGGGAAGGUAGCUAGAGAUGGUAACAUAGAAGGCUGAUGGAGAAGGUAGCUGGAGAUGGAAGAUUAGAGGAAAUCAUAAAACUUGAAAAUGUGUAAAUAUUUAAAAAAAACUUUAUUUUUGUGUUUUUCAAAUAUUUACAAAGAUACCUAAACUACGACAAAGUUAUUAUUUAGUGUCUCUUCAUGGAAAACAACAUAAAAAAGUAGUGUUAUC